rnacentral:tRNA from 1 species
GAUUGAAGCCCGCUGGAUUGGGUGACUAGUUGUUAAUUAGAAGUUUAUGGGAUCAAGGCCCGUCAGUCUAUGAGUAA